CCCACUUCCCUCGGGGUUCCUGUGUGUCCGGGGGGUGAGCGAGCUCCCCUGAUUCCUGGUGCGGGCUCGGGCCUGGGGCGCGGCCGCACCCCUCACCCACAGCGGCGCGGGGGCCCAGCCGUGGGGAACGCCCUCCCGGGAUGAAGCGCUUCCCGGUGCGUUCAAGGUAGCUCGGCUUCGGAUGGGGGAACCCUCCCUAGUCCUUCCUCCCUGGUCCUCGCUAUUGAGAAUUUAGAAGGUGCCCCCAAUCUUCCUGGGUCGGGUUGGAGAUAGCUCAGUGCCCCCCAACACCUUCCAACUGGUAAGAAACCUCUCCCAGUCCGAGCGAGGAGUUGCCCUUGGAGACCCCCAGUUUCUCCUGAACCUAAUUUAGACUGCCUUGACGACAGUCUCCAGUCCAUUCCUAGUUUCCCACGUCCAAUUUGGGGAGCCCUCGUAGUGCCUUGCGUCCCGAGUGGGGAGCAUUUAUCAGCAACACUAGUAGAAUCUUUCCCAGUUUUGUUUGCCCCUCCUCGGCCCUUGCUGUCCAAAUUAAGUGUGCCUUGUAACUCCCCUAAACCCCUUUUCUCCACACCUGGGACCCCUAUGGUCAGCUGAGAGAAUGCCCAGCCUCGAGCCAGGUUUCCCAAGUUGUCACCUCCCCGGCCUUCUGUGGGCACCUCCUCCUGUCUCACUUCCAGCCCCUUUCGGACUGUCUGGAGUGGGGGGAAACUGAUUCCAAACACUUGCCCGCUGGCAGGGUCCCCAAUGAAGUGGAGAGAGAAGUCGGUGUCUCGGAGAUUCCAGGCUGUGCACCCUCCAAGUGACUCCCUUUCAUCUGGGGUCCUAGCUCCCUUCCAUUUGAUUUGGAAGAACCUGGGCUGACUCUCCACCAGGUUUAGAGUUAACUUCCCUUGUAAAUAAUUUCCUUCUAUGAAGCCAAACUCCUGUCUUCUUCCCUCUAACUCCUGGCUCUUUAGCAUCACCUCCUAGUACUUGAACCCCAUGUCUCUUCAUUCACCCCCAUAAACUCCUUCUCUCCAGCCUGGGAAGACCAAGAAAGUCCCUUAUAUAUGACAAGAGGCAGAUUCACCCUCCUCCCUCAAGACCAAGGGAUGUCUUCACUUCCCUGGUUGAAACCACGAUAGAAAUGGUCCAAACAGGAGGCUAAGGUGCCUUUACAAGCCCCACCCUACCACUUUACCCCACCCCCACCCCGCAUCCCUAUCUCCUCCCUUCCUUACAUCCACCCAGGUUGACUCAGUAGCCACCUGUGUGCAGGACCAAUCCUGCACUCUUUCUCCUUUGUGAUAAUGUGUGCCCCUGGUCCUGGCACCCCAACCUAGAGGUGCUUUCCUGUUCCUCCUAGCACGCACCCCUCCCCCCAGCCAUCACACCCCAGAGAGAGAGUGAGCCCCUUUUAAGUUUCCUUAGGAACCUUGUGGGAAAGCUCAGCAGGUAUAUCCGGCCAUCGGGUACAAACAAAUUUGCCAUUUCCCUAUUUGUCUCCUCCUACUCUCCCAGGUUCUCAGUGUCCCCUAGAUUGGGAGGUGGGGACCAUCCUAUACUUAACCACCUUGAUCUAAGCUGGAACUUGAGGUGUGUCGUGUGUGUGUGUGUGUGUGUGUGUGUGUGUGUGUGUGUGUGUGUGUGUGAGAGAGAGAGAGAGAGAGAGAGAGAGAGAGAGAGAGAGAGGUCAGCAGGUAACCACUCCCUGUGCCCAGUGUUAGUGACCUGAUUCUUCCUAGAACUUCUGGUUCUUUGUGUAUAAAAUGUUCUGAGACAUGCUGGGAAGGGAAGGGCAGAUCUGUGUGUGAGUGCGUGUGAACACUGGCUUGUGUGCUUAUGUUUUUGGCAGGUGGCUCAGAGGCUGGCAGAUAGUAGGCAUGGUUUGUUCAGGGCCAGCCAAGACUGUAAGCAGUCACUUAAGAUAGCAUCCUCUAUUGGUAUCUUCAGUACCCUGGAGCAGAAAGCCUGUACCUCCUUGUAUCAAUAACUAGCUUGUAGCACCGAGGUACUGAGUGACUCCAGUCCACUCCCAUAGCAGGUUUGUUGUUACCUAGCUGGUUCAGUUGGCUCUGCUCACAAGGGACAACAAAUCCUUGUCAGGGUGGCCCUCCUGGGACAAUGCAUGAUCCUCAGAGUAAAUUGAGGAUCUGGGCAGUAUUGGGGGGUCCUUCCAUCACAGGGGCGCAGACUUGAAUUGGGAGAUUAGAAGACGUAGCCCCAGCUCCUUCUCUCCAUUCUCUCCAGCACUACAUACACGAGUUCACUCCAUG
rnacentral:lncRNA from 1 species